GGGUGAGUAAUGCAUCGGAAUGUACCGUGUAAUGGGGGAUAGCUCGGCGAAAGCCGGAUUAAUACCGCAUACGCCCUGAGGGGGAAAGUGGGGGACCGUAAGGCCUCACGUUAUACGAGCAGCCGAUGUCUGAUUAGCUAGUUGGUGGGGUAAAGGCUCACCAAGGCGACGAUCAGUAGCGGGUCUGAGAGGAUGAUCCGCCACACUGGGACUGAGACACGGCCCAGACUCCUACGGGAGGCAGCAGUGGGGAAUUUUGGACAAUGGGCGCAAGCCUGAUCCAGCCAUGCCGCGUGUCUGAAGAAGGCCUUCGGGUUGUAAAGGACUUUUGUCCGGGAGCAAAUCCCAGUGGUUAAUACCUACUGGGGCUGAGAGUACCGGAAGAAUAAGCACCGGCUAACUACGUGCCAGCAGCCGCGGUAAUACGUAGGGUGCAAGCGUUAAUCGGAAUUACUGGGCGUAAAGCGUGCGCAGGCGGUUGUGCAAGUCUGAUGUGAAAGCCCCGGGCUUAACCUGGGAACGGCAUUGGAGACUGCACGACUAGAGUGCGUCAGAGGGGGGUAGAAUUCCGCGUGUAUCAGUGAAAUGCGUAGAGAUGCGGAGGAAUAUCGAUGGCUAA
rnacentral:rRNA from 1 species